CACCAUUGGGAGGUGAAAUCGUCUUUGGAGGAUAUGAUUGGAGACACUUUGUGAAAAUUCAAACUAUUGCAAUGAUUUGAUGAGCUGUGGCAUGGUGUAUUUAUGUCAUUGGUUAUACUGAUUGAUCGUUUCCUUUGCAGAUGACCCAACACAAUGAUGGAGCCUUGGUGGUCCUGAAACCUGGAGAGCAAAAAUCUAUGCAGGAAAUCAGUAAUCAUAACAGAGAGAGUGGGAAAGGAAAUCAAAUCUUGCUUACACACAGAAGGAUAUUGAUGUGGUUCGAGCUGAAUGGGCAAAUCAUGUUAUGAAGUUCUAACUUUGGUUCUGUUUAAGGUAGAUGAGUAGCAUCAGGAACUGCUUUUGUGCAUUUAUAUAUAACUGAUGGAAAGUGUUGAUGAACCUAAAUUAUGCAUGCAGUUGCUUUGCCUAGCUACUCUUUCUUUACCUUAUAGGUUUUUGACUUGGUACAAUAUUAGGUAAAUGAUCGAGAUCGAUAAGAUGGUUUUUUGGUUAUCUUGAUCAUUAUGUAACUGUUGGCUAGAUUUAGAGUUGGAACUAUGGAUUGUAUUUUGGAUGAUGUUGAUGCAAUGAAACGUAGCCAUCAUUUUCAAUGCAGAUUUUAGUCCAAUUUUAUGGUUU